CCUAGUGUCUCCAAAUACCUCCACAUCGUCUACAGCUGUGAGAAGAAAGUGUGUCUUGACAGUCUGGGCAUCGCUGACGGGACAAUCCCAGACUCCUCCUUUUCAGCCUCUUCCUCUGCGUUCAAUGCCGAACCUCACAAAGCGCGUCUGGGGGGCAGCGGUUGCUGGAGACCCUCCGAAAUGCUCGGCAGCUGGAUCCAGGUGAACCUCGGUCAGAGCUUCAAGGUGACGGGCAUUGUGACCCACAGCUGUACAUA